rnacentral:rRNA from 1 species
CUCGUGUCGUGAGAUGUUGGGUUAAGUCCCGCAACGAGCGCAACCCUCGUCCUUAGUUGCUAACAGUUCGGCUGAGCACUCUAGGGAGACUGCCUUCGCAAGGAGGAGGAAGGUGAGGACGACGUCAAGUCAUCGAUGGCCCUUACGGCCAGGGCUACACACGUGCUACAAUGGGGCGUACAGAGAGCUGCGAUACCGCGAGGUGGAGCCAAUCUCUUAAAGCGUCUCUCAGUUCGGAUUGUUCUCUGCAACUCGAGAACAUGAAGCUGGAAUCACUAGUAAUCGCAGAUCAGCUAUGCUGCGGUGAAUACGUUCCCGGGUCUU